UGGCCUGUCUCUGUGGGCCCGCAAAUCCGUUAAGAACGCGUCCCCCGGUCUUCGGACACACUCGCCGUACGAGUAUUUGUGUCUGUCUUUCUGUCUCUGUACUUGAACCGUUAUUACGAAUAUUACGUGAAUGGCUGCCAUGUACACCAACGAGAUGAUGAAUCACAUCGAUCAGUAUUUGCGGCGCAUUAUGGAGCUGCAGAUACGCGACGUGGUGAAGAAGCAGCGCGACGAAGAAAGUGUCAAAUCGAUUCUGGGACGCCACACAAAGAUACUCGUCAAGUAUAUGGUCAAAUUGGAAACGAAAGGCGAUAAGACGGAGAAUCGUGUUUUGGUCUUUACUCCCGUGCGGGUUUACUUGCUGAAUGCCAAAGUGCCAACGAAGAUCGAAUGCCAUUUCCACUAUCUGGACAUUGUGGGGGUCGAGAGCAAGAAGUCCACCCACUUUUCCAUUGUGACCAACGAUCGGCCAUACUCGUUUGCCACCACCGGCGAUGCGGGCAAUUUCAGCUCGAACGCUGAUGUCAUUCUAACCGAUUUGGCCUCAGCCAUCAAGCAGAUAUUUCCAACAGUUCCUCUAAAAUACAUCAUCCGCAAGAUCGAUAUACAGCCCCCGGAACGGGAGACAAUUUUCUCCGAGGAAUUCCGACCCUCCGAUCCGCGGAAUGUGGGACCCUGCGGUGGCUUCAGCGCCCAGUACGCCUGCAUGUGCGACUUCCAUGGGGUGCCGUACCGCGAGGAGGUGGCCUGGGAUGUGGACACCAUCUAUCUGUCCCACGACACGCGAGUCCUCAACCUGCGCGACUUUGACCACUUGGAACCGAAAGACUUGAUGGCCAUCGUUUCGGCGCUGGAGUACAAUACGUUUUUUCGUGGCCUAAAGGCCGCCCACAUGCGUCUCUCCCACGAAACCCUGGAACGCAUCCUGCACGUGCUCAAGCGCUCGAUGUGGCUGGAGGAGCUGCAUCUGGAGGCGUUAGGCUUAAGAUGGGAUUUCCUGAACAAGUUAUCUAUAUCUGUGAUAACGAAUAGCAAUCCCGCCAUUCGCACCAUCGAUCUGAGCCACAAUAUAAUUGAGGACAAAGGUGCAAGCUCGUUGUGCGCCCUACUUGGAAAGAUUGUACAAGGUGCCAUACAUCUGGCCGGACCCAUAGCCAAGGUGUCGAAGGGUCUGUGCAAGCUGGCCCUGGCCCACUGCGGCCUCACCUCGAAGGGCGUCAACCAGAUGUCGCACUCACUGACGCUCAAUCAAAGUAUUUCGAACUCGCUCACGUAUCUAGACCUUAGUGGUAAUAGUCUCAAAGAUGAUUUAACCAAUCUGCACAAUUUCCUGGCUCAACCCAAUGUGCUGGAGCACCUGGACCUGGCCUCGACUGACAUCAUGCUGGAGAAUCUGUUUGGGGCUCUGUUGCGCGGCUGUGCCACGCAUCUGGCCCACCUGAAUGUCUCGCACAACUCGUUCAGCACGAAGAAGGGCAAGGAGAUACCGCCCUCGUUCAAGCAGUUCUUCACCAGCACAUUGAGCCUCAAGCAUCUGAACAUCGCCGGCUGCAAGCUGCCCAUGGAGGCGCUCAAGAACCUGCUGCUCGGCCUGGCCUGCAACGAGUCCACGGCGGGCCUCUACCUGGACCUCAGCAGCAAUACGCUGGGCACCCAAGGCGCCCACGUGAUCGAGUCCUGCAUACACGGCGUACGUGUGCUCCAGAGCCUGGACAUCAGCGACAACAAUCUAGAUGCAGAGCUCGCGCCCGUGCUGACGGCCAUCUCGAAGAACCCCUCGAUUCGAACGCUCCACCUGUGCCGCAGUCUGACGGGCAUGAAGCCGAAGCACAUACCCCCUGUGAUGGACGCCCUGGUGAACCUCAUCCAGAAGGACGACUUCCCGCUGGCCGAGCUGGUGUUGUCGGAGAACAAACUCAAGCACGACCUGCACGACUUCAUCAACGCCCUCGGCAGCAACCAGAGUCUCCAGAAGCUGGACAUCAGCGGCAACUUCAUGGGCGACGUGGGCGCCCGGCUACUCGCCAAGGCGCUGCAGAUCAACAAUCGCCUGCGCACCAUCUACAUGGACAAGAACGGGGUCACGCUGCAGGGGUACGCGGACAUUGUGUACGCGUUGGAGCACAACCACAGCAUGCGCACCAUCCCCUUUCCGGUGUUCGAUAUUGCGCCGCACCUCAAGAACCAUCCGGACAAGACGGACGCCGUCAUGCGCAAGAUGCAGGAGCUGCUGCAGCGCAACUGCAAUGGUCUGCAGCGGACCAAUGGUCAGGGCUUUCGGCUGCAGCACGGCUUCAUGCUCUCCUCCACCCACCAGCUGGUGGACAAACUCGUGGCCGAGACGCAGGACACCAUCUCGAUAGCCAAGGGCGGGGGCGGAGACUCGGCUGCCUCUGCCGUCCAGCGGCUGAUCACCGACGCCGAGAACUGCAAGCAGCUGAUGCCCAAGCUCCAGGAGGCCGUGCGCAGCGAUGCCCAUCCCAUCGAGAUGAAGCUGACGCGAGUGGCCAGCGAGCUGGGCUACACGAUCAAGAGCUACCUCGAGGAGACCCUAGAGACCAUGAUACGCACCGGCAUCGAGCAGUGCCCCAAGACCCUGGGCAAUCAGAUUGUGAUCCAAGAUCUGCGCAAGGCGCUCGCCGAGCGACUGGUGGUCCCCGAAGACUUUCUGCAACAAUGCCUCCUCAACAAUGCCGGCAGCGAGAUAAUGAACAAAGUUGGUGAGAUUGAGCAGACGCUGGCCGCCGCCAUCUCGGACCGGGCAACGGAUGAGGUGCUGGAGGCAUUGACCCGCUAUCGCCGGGGCAUGGGCAUCGCCGAGUCGCCGUCGGUGCUGCUGGAUGAGCCCCAGACGCCGGACAUUGUACGCAGUCGCUCCAGUCAUGAUGCGGACGGGCUGAUCAUACGCCCGGGCGGACGCGGCUCGAUACUGCCCAAGCUGGGCCUGGAAUCGCCCACUAAAUUGGAAUAUCUCAACCUUGCCACUCCCCAUCUGCCCACCAAGCGGCGCAGCGUUGCCCGAAAGGUUCGUCCCCAGUCGGUCGUGGAGAAUCUCAGCCUGAGCCACAUACCCGAUCUGCUGGAGUCCCCCUCCUCGCAUCGCUCCAACUCCCAGCUGUCGACCCGCGGUGCAGCUGCCGGUGCCGCCGCCUUGGCCGCUGCCAGCAACAUGACGGACAGCAUCGCGGCCAUGGACGAUGGCGGCGUCGACGAGUGCUGCGACUCUAUUACCGAGCUGCCCAGCGCCUCGUUCCAGCUGCAGCACCUGGUCAAGGGACGCCCGAAGCGGGCUAAGACGCGGGCCCCGACCCGGCCGUUGGUCAGCGCCGAGUGUGCCGGUGGCGGCAGGGAGAUUGGCGAGGGACUGGAGCACUUCUUUCGUCCGGGAUCGGUGACACCCACCACACUGACGCCCCUCGUCUCGCCCACGUCGGAGGAGUGCAGCUCGCUGUCGUUUGUCGACAGCCCCACCAUGAGCCGCGAUGGCAACGGACACAUGACCUCCGAGGAGACCACGCCCAUCCUGGAGGAGCGCCGACCAAUCAAAUUAGAGCGCCAAUCGCCCCUCCUCAAGAGUGCCUCCUGGGCCACCCGGUCGCGCUCCACGGACAACCUCGAGAAGUAUUCGCCGUUGGUGGGACGCAAAUCGCCGCUGGUCAAGAUGCGCACCGAGGGUGGGCCGGGCUCGGGUGCUGCCGUGGAAGAGGGAGCCACAUCCGGAUUGCUCAAAGCGGGCAACCGCGAUGACAAGAUGCGCUCGCCGAGCAGCGAUUCGAUCAAGAGCCACGCCACCAGUGGCGAGGGAAGCGUGAUAGUGAAGACGGGCAACGGAAUCCUGCGCACGCCCAUUGUGCUGCAGAAGCCGCGUCCCUGGUCUGUGGUGGGCAGCGAGCCCAAGUCCAGCGAUCUGGUCACUGGAAACGGUACCGCCGAGUCCAACAAGACGACGCCGGACAAGCUGCAGGAAGAUGUUGAGGUGCUGACCUUUGGCCAGAGCACCGGCGGCUCGAUAGUGGGUAUCACACCGGGCAUAGCCAUAGCAGGGGGCGGCAGUGGCGGGGGCAGCAUUGUGGGCAUUACACCAGGAGCUGCCCUUGAGAAGAAGUCUGUGCGCGAGCUGGCGGCAGGCCUUAGUCGAUUGGAACUCCCCAUGAAACCGCCCGUUAUGCCCAGAACCCUCCUGAACACAGCAGGUGGGCGCACGAGCAAUGCAUCUUCCACCUCCUCGAACUCGUCAUUGUCAUCCUCCACCAGUGGCGGUGGGACCACAACUACUACAACAACGACUACAGUAUUAAAUACCCAGAACCAGGCGCGCUCAAGGAUUGUGAGCACCACGAGCAGCAACAGCGAGAGCCAGGAGACGCUGAACAAGAUCACCAUCACAGAGCACGGCGGCAGCAGUCAGUCCAUCAGCCACUCGAGCACCACCGAGAAGAAGCACGCCAUGGCCUGCGCCAGCCUCAUCAGCAAUGAGAUCCUGAGCAUGCGCAACGGUCAGCUGAGCGGCAAGUCGGGCAGCUGUGCGGAGAGCGGCGGCAUCAAGCGCAUCGCUGGCAAGGAGAUCUCAACGCUAUUCGAGGUUUGAACCCGGAACCACAGCUGCUUCAAUCAUGAAUCGCCGUUCGAAAUUUUUGGUGGCCUCGUUGUUUCGGUUGCUCAUCCUGUGCGUCUAACAUUUGUUGUCUAGUGUGUAGUCCCUAGGUUGCAUGUCACUAGCACUCAUCCUGCAUCUGAGACAUUAGCUGAAGACCUGCAGCGCACCACCUCGACACGACGCAUGUUUAGAGAGACUACGCCCUACACAAAGGAGGAUGUCGUUGAUUU
rnacentral:misc_RNA from 1 species